rnacentral:lncRNA from 1 species
AAUGUUUUGGGUUGUCGUAUGCAAUCAUCCAAUUCAAUAACGUUAGGAAAAUCUUAAGGUUAAUUUAAGCGAACCUAAUUAACUUGGGGCAUUGAGAGUUCAUGGUUUAUUGAAAAGCAAUUGGAAACCGUUUUGUAUGCAAGUAUAACAUGUGUGGAGAUGAACCCCUUAGCUAGCCUUCCAUUCACCCAUUUAAAUCA